UAAAAGAACUAAUUUUUAGUAUCCCCUGCUCAAUGAGAUUUAAAUAGCCGCAAGUUUUGUGCUAAGGUAGCAUAAUCAUUUGCCUAAUAAUUGUAGGAUAGAAUGAACGGGGUAACAGGUAAUUUUCUAUGUCAAGAGAAUUAUUUUAACUUAACAGGUGAGUAAAAAGGCUCACAAAACUAGGGGGACGAUAAGACCCUGUCAAACUUCACCCCUUAAGGUUUAGCUGGGGCGGCAAAAAAUUAAACCUUUACUUAGUAUAUAUAGCUAAACCAAGAUCCAUGAUAAACAAGUUACUGCAGGGAUAACAGCACAAUCACUCUUUAAAGAUCGUAUAAAAAGAAUGGCUUGUGACCUCGAUGUUGAAUUAAAAAUCUUUUUGAGGUAGCCCUCUAAAAAGAAAGUCCGUUCGACUUUUAAACAUUU
rnacentral:rRNA from 1 species